GCUACCGCUGUGCAAGCAGCCGCGGGAAUACAGAGUGGGCCAGCGUUGGUCGGAAUUACCGGGCUGAAAGGGCGCGUAGGAGGCCAUCUACGGCAGACGUGAAAUCCCCCGGCUUAACCUGGGAACUGCGUCGGAUACUGGACGGCUUGAGUAUGGGAGAGGGAUGUAGAAUUCCAGGUGUAGCGGUGAAAUGCGUAGAUAUCUGGAGGAAUACCGGUGGCGAAGGCGGCAUCCUGGACCAUUACUGACGCUGAUGCGCGAAAGCUAGGGGAGCAAACGGGAUUAGAUACCCGGGUAGUU
rnacentral:rRNA from 1 species